UAGGCUACAGCGCUGUCCAAGAAAUGUCCCAUUCCAAGACAAUAACAAGCCCAGCAGCAUCAUCCCGCGUGUGAAUCAUUCGUUUUCUUUGUGAAUGUGAACUGCCCAUCCCAACACCGAAUACCAGGGAAAAAGGAGAGACGAAAAGCACAUUUAAUCUGCACAAAUAUAAAAAAGAUGGUUAGGUGACCCUCCAGUUUUCAGUCUUUGACCUAGUGAAACACAUGUGCAAGCCCAAACCAGGCCCAUCAUUUUUUCUUGGUUUACAGUACUAUGAUAUUUGGUUUUUAGUUGCUUUUUCAAAUGCCAAAUUCAAAGAAGAAACCAAGAAUAUCAAGAAAAAAAGCAAGCAAAGACCCAAGUAUCCUCUCCUAUCAAACAAUACUAAAUGUGUUCAAAAUGGACAAACCAACUAAACCAUUUUGUUUUGAGAGAGAAGCUCCCAGAGCUAAAGUAAAGAAUGAGAACUAUGACAGAUGACCAUAUUUGUAACUUCUUCUUGCUCUUCACUUUCCUAACUAUCUUCCCAACAAUUUCCAUUUCGGUAGACAUCUUAUCUGCUACUCAGUCUAUCAUACAUAACCAAACUCUUGUCUCCCCAGGUGAUGUUUUCGAGCUCGGAUUCUUCACCCUGGAACAUCCAGGGGAAUGGUACGUCGGGAUAUGGUACAAGAACAUUCCUGAAAGAACCUACGUGUGGGUUGCCAACCGAGAUAACCCACUUACAAACUCGUCAGGUAUUUUUAAGGUGGAGGAUCGAAACCUCGUUCUUCUUGACCAAGGACAGAAUCUUGUAUGGUCAUCAAAUUUAACAAAGGGCGACAACCCUGUUGCACAGCUGUUAGACUCUGGAAAUUUGGUUUUAAGAGAAGCAAACGCCAACGAUGGGACCAACAACUACCUUUGGCAAAGCUUUGAUUACCCUACAGAUACGUUGUUACCAGAUAUGAAGCUCGGAUGGGAUCUCAACACAGGUUUUAACAGGUUCUUAACAGCCUGGAGGACGAGAGGGGACCCUUCAUCUGGGGAUUGCUCGUUCAAGCUGGAUUAUCAUGGAUUUCCCGAAAUAUUCUUGUGGAACAAGCAAGAGAAAGAAUACAGAAGUGGUCCAUGGAACGGUCUAAGGUUUAGCGGUGUCCCGGAAAUGAAACCUCUUGAUUAUAUCUCUUUCAACUUUGUCACCAACCAAGAUGAGGUAUAUUACUCAUUUUCUAUAGCAAACAAGAACUUGCUUUCCAGAUUGAUAGUUACUCCAACAGGGGCUCUUCAAAGAUUAACAUGGAUUCCCGAUACUAAACAAUGGAAUCCAUUUUGGUUCGCACCAAAAGACCAGUGUGACAAUUACCGGGAGUGCGGUCCGUAUGGUAUAUGUGACAGCAACGCAUCUCCGGUUUGUAAGUGUCCAAAGGGGUUCAGUCCAAAGAAUCAGCAAGCAUGGAAUUUAAGGGAUGGAUCUGAUGGGUGUGUUAGAAAGACAGAUUUAGAUUGCACCAAAGACAAGUUCCUGCACUUGCCUAAUAUGAAGAUGCCAGAAAGUACAACUUCAUUCGUAGACAAUACCAUGAAUCUUAAGGAAUGUGAAGCAUUGUGCACCAGGAACUGUUCUUGUACUGCCUAUUCUAACUCGGAUAUUCGAAAUGGAGGCACUGGAUGUGUCAUUUGGACUGGCGACCUGAUUGAUUUGAGGCAAUAUACAGGUGGUGGACAAGAUCUCUUUGUUAGAUUGGCUGCUUCUGACCUAGGAGAUGGUGGGAACAAAACUGCUCUGAUUAUAGGCAUUACGGUGGGUGCUGGCGUUUUGCUUUUAGGAUUGAUAGCCUAUGUCAUAUGGAAGAGGAAGGCAGUGGGAAGAAGAGGAAAAAUAGAAAAGAAAGGUCCUCAUGAAAGAAGCCAGGAUUUUCUAUUGAAUGAAGUGGUUAUCUCAUAUAAGAAGGAAUACUCGGGUGAAAGUAAACCUGAUGAACUAGAAUUACCAUUGUUUGAUUUUGAUACCAUUGCAACAGCUACAGACAACUUUUCUGAUGAAAAUAAACUUGGACAAGGUGGUUUUGGCUGCGUAUACAUGGGUAGGUUGGUUGAGGGUCAAGUGAUAGCAGUAAAAAGGCUCUCAAAGAACUCUGGGCAAGGGACUGAAGAAUUCAAGAAUGAGGUUAGACUGAUUGCAAAGCUUCAACAUAGGAAUCUUGUUCGACUUCUUGGUUGCUGCAUUGAGAUGGAUGAGAAGAUGCUAGUCUAUGAGUACAUGGAACACAGAAGCCUUGAUUCUGUUUUAUUCAAUAAAGAAAGAAGCUCCUUAUUAAAUUGGCAAAGGCGCUUCAACAUUAUAUGUGGUAUUGCCCGAGGACUUCUGUAUCUUCACCAGGAUUCCAGAUUCAGGAUCAUCCAUAGAGAUCUCAAAGCAAGCAACAUUUUACUCGAUGGAGAAAUGAACCCCAAAAUUUCAGACUUUGGCAUGGCUAGAAUUUUUGGUGGUGAUCAAACAGAGGCAAAUACAAAGAAAGUGGUUGGAACCUAUGGUUAUAUGUCACCUGAAUAUGCAAUGGAUGGUCUCUUCUCAGCAAAAUCAGAUGUUUUUAGCUUUGGUGUUCUGGUGUUGGAAGUCGUCAGUGGCAAGAAGAACAGAGGAUUUUAUCACUCAAACAGUGAACUCAACCUUCUUGGCCAUGCAUGGAGAUCAUGGAAAGAAGGGAAGGGAUUGGAGUUAAUAGAUUCAGCAGCAGGUGAUACCUAUCCAGCACAUGAAGUACUAAGGUGUAUACAGGUUGGUCUUUUGUGCGUGCAAGAGCGUGCAGAAGACAGGCCAAUUAUGUCGACUGUGGUUUUGAUGCUGAACAGUGACACAGCCAUAAUGCCCCGUCCUAAAACGCCUGGUUUUUGCCUAGGAAGAAAUGUACUUGAAACUGAUUCAUCUACCAGUAAGCAAGAUGAAUCAUGCACUGUGAACCAAGUCACGGUUACAAUGCUAGAUGCCAGAUAGUGAAAGGUCCGGCCUCAUCAAGGGUGUUUGUAUAUCUCAAAAACUUGACUUCAUAUAUUCUGUUGUGAUUUUUAUGACAGCCUUUGCCAUAAUUUUUGUGGCAGUUUUGGGUAGUUAAGAAUCUUUUGUGGUGUAACUUGUAAGAAAUAUCUUCCAUUCAAAUGGCACGAAUGAGAACAUACUGUCGUAACUUGUAAGAUCUCAUAUGUUUUUGAAUUUCGAAUGGCAUGAGCAGAAUUAGAUUUGAAUUGCCAUUUGUUUGGUACAAAAUAGCCACCUGAAUAACACACAAAGACUCAAACUAACAACUUUUCUGCUGCAAAUAAGAUUGGAGAAGGUGGAUUUGGACCAGUAUACCAGGUAGAAAUCUAUUUGCAGAUUGUUCUGGGAGGCAUCAUCUAUUUUAGACUAUUUCUUCUCUUUUUUCCAUUACUGUUUCUAAAUAAUCUUCGAUAUAAUUCAUAGGGUGAGCUACUGUCUGGACAAGACGUAGAUGUGAAGAGACUUGCAGAUAAUUCUGGACAGGGCCUUCAAGAGUUAAAAAAUGAGGUCAUUUAAUUUUGAUCUCCAAACUUCAACAUAUAAAUCUGGUCAAGCUUCUAGGUUGUUGCGUUGAAAGGGAAGAAAGAAUGUUAAUCUAUGAGUACAUGCCAAAUAUUAAAAGUAUGGUCUCCUUUUUCUUUGGUAUCUCAACUUUCUAUUUAUUUCUUUGAUGCUUUAUCAUUUAUAAAUUUUUCUUCAGAAUAUGCAUGCUUCAUAUUCAAGCUAGCCAUCAGUAUUAAGUCCUUUUGAUUUCUUCAUUAAGAAAAUCAAACUAUAUUGGAUCUUGAUGGGCAAUGGCUGCAGAUGAAACAAAAAGGCCUUCACUUGACAGGAGAAGGAGACAUGACAUCAUAUUGUUGGAAUAGCUCGGAGGUUUCUUUAAUUCAAGACAGAGAAUCAUCCAUAGGGACCUCAAACACUGUAAUGUUCUCUUGGACAACGACAUGAAUCCCAAAAUUUCAGACUUCGGUAUGUCAAGAACGUUCCGUGGAAAUCAAACUGAAGCAAACACAAAGAGCGUAGUUGGAACCUAGCCUGGAUAUUGUGGAAUGAGGGGAAGGCUUUGGAAUUGAUGGAGCAAGAGUUUCCUGAACAUGAAGCACUCAGACGCAUACAGGCAGUGCUCCUUUGUGUUCAGCAGUGGCCAGAAGACAGGACAGUGAUGCAAACUGUGCUAUUGAUGUCGGAUAGCAAGAGUAUGUCAUUAACUCAACCUGGAAGAACUAGGUUUUUAUCCAGAAAGGUGUCUUUCAUAGACAGAUUCAUCAUCAACCCCUGGGAAUCUAAUUUCGAAUGAGAUGAUCGUUACCUUAUAAGAGGGUCGUUAAAUCCACUAACAUUAAAAUUUUUGUACCAUAAAUGAGAAACCUUAUCAAUAUUCCUAUAUAGACAAGGGCCAAAAUUCCAAGAUGUUUGUGCCUUCUGCAACCUCCACUCUGAAAGCACUGAACACCUUUUCAUGCAAUGCCAACGGAUUAGAAACA